rnacentral:rRNA from 1 species
AACGAACGCUGGCGGCAGGCCUAACACAUGCAAGUCGAACGCCGUAGCAAUACGGAGUGGCAGACGGGUGCGUAACACGUGGGAACAUACCCUUUGGUUCGGAAUAACUCAGGGAAACUUGAGCUAAUACCGGAUAAGCCCUUACGGGGAAAGAUUUAUCGCCAAAGGAUUGGCCCGCGUCUGAUUAGCUAGUUGGUGAGGUAACGGCUCACCAAGGCGACGAUCAGUAGCUGGUCUGAGAGGAUGAUCAGCCACACUGGGACUGAGACACGGCCCAGACUCCUACGGGAGGCAGCAGUGGGGAAUAUUGGACAAUGGGCGCAAGCCUGAUCCAGCCAUGCCGCGUGAGUGAUGAAGGCCUUAGGGUUGUAAAGCUCUUUUACCCGGGAAGAUAAUGACGGUACCGGGAGAAUAAGCCCCGGCUAACUUCGUGCCAGCCGCCGCCGUAAC